AAAAAUAUUCUUUUUAAUUUUUUAUAUUUAAUUUUGUAGGACUGGUUAGUCCUUUUGUCAAUGAUCUCUUUUCAAAACAUACUUACGUGACAUGUUAAUCACUAAUAUAUCUUUUAUUUAAUUUUUAUAAAUAAAAAUAAUCUAAAAAUCACUAAUAUUUAUUAGUUUUACACAAUAAAUUUAGUUAAUGUAUCUGAAAAAGAUAAUAGAAAAAUAAAAAUAAUAACUAAAUAAUCUUGAUAAUUAUCCUUAAAAGACAACGAGACUCUCAACAAAAAAGAAUUUGUUAAUCCUAAUUGGUUCUUAAUGGAUAAAUCAAUAAUUUAACAUGCUAUGUAGGCUUGUUCCGUUAAUAUCGAUAGAAAAUAUUGACAUAGAAGCUAAUCAGUCUCAUAAAAAUAAAGAUCAGAAACAGGAAAAAAUAUUUUUUUUUGUUAAGAGACUCGUUGUCUUUUGAGGUAAUUGUAAUAGAGUGUUUAAGAUUUUUUUUCUCGCUUGAUAAAUGAUAAUUUCACCAUUUUUUCCCGUUAACAUUCUCAAAAACACUUGUAAAGUUGUUGGGUGUAGGCGUAAGUUGGGGUUGUGAUUACGAUCGUACGUUUGAAGAACGAAGGCUUGCAACUUUCAGGUUUGAAGAAGGAAGAAGAAAGAAGCAUAUCGGGAACCUGUCCGGUGCAAAAGAACGGUAUCUCUCUCCUGGUUGCUUGAAGUUGUUCUCCUUCUCAAUUAUGGUCUGCAUUAAGAAGUAGAGUUGCUUACACAUUGUUGAUCAAUAAAGGAGACAUUUUGAGGGGUUCUUUCUUCUUUUUAAAUAAAUCAACUACCUUUCAUAUUAACUUUGGCCUAACUUUAUUGGCAACUAAGAAAUAUAACUGAUUUCAAGUUGGAAGACAUUUAAAUAUGAAGUAUUCACAUUCACGAUAAGAAAUCCAUCAGAACAUACCUUCUCACGCCUUCCAUUGAGAAUAACAGAAGGAAUGGGGACCUUUUCUGCAUGACGAACAGGAUCAUACCUUGAAGGGAAGUAAUUGAUCUGUGAAAUCAAGCAUUCAGUCAACAGAGAAAAUGAAAGAAAGCAGCUAAAAGCAUUUUGCAAUAUCACAAGAGGAGUUACACAUGUACAAAAAAGGUAAAAGCACUACUUUAAAGUGGCAACCAGCUUCUGAUCCAAAAUUUGAAUAAGGAAAUUGCAGACAAAGAUAAAGAUUCACCUCUUCAUCCCUGUGCAUGAAGUUCAUAAAACCCUCAUGAUGAUUGUUGUGGUGAGCACACUUGGGAGCAUUAACAGGGAGCUGCAAAUAGUUUGGUCCAAGCCUGUGCCUUUGUGUGUCAGAGUAAGAGAAUAUCCUAGUCUGAAGCAACUUGUCAUCUGAAUAGUAAACACCAGGUACCACAAUUGCAGGGCAGAAUGCAAUUUGUUCAUUCUCAGCAAAGAAAUUAUCUAUGUUCUUGUUCAAGACCAAACGACCAACAGGCUGCAGGGGCAAGAUGUCCUCGGGCCAGGUCUUAGUCACAUCAAGCGGGUCAAAGUCAAAUUUGUCUUCAUGGUCGGGAUCUAUAGUUUGAAUGUACAGUUUCCACUCAGGAUAGUUGCCCGCAGCAAUCGAAUCAUAAAGAUCUUGAGUAGCAUGGCUGUGGUUGGAUCCUCCAACCUUAACAGCAUCAUCCUCUAACAGACACUUAACCCCACAUGUGGGCCUCCAGUGAAAUUUAACAUAGUGUACUUUCCCAGCCUUGUUGAUCAGAGUAUAAGUGUUAACACCAGAACCAUCCAUAUGCCUGUAAUCUUGUGGGACACCCACAUCAUCAAACAAAAAGGUGAACAUGUGAAGGCUUUCUGGGUGGUGGGAGAAGAAGUCAAGAAUCCUCCAAUUCUCCUGGAUGUGGGACUUGGGAUUGGGUUUAAGGGCAUGGACCAUGUCUGGAAACUUCAUCCCAUCGCGAACAAAGAAGACUGGAAAGUUGUUUCCAACAAGGUCGAAGUUACCCUGUAUUUAGAAAUUGCUUCAAAAGAUAAAUACAUUUAAACAUAUAAAACAUCUUUUAAUAUUUGACAUUGAAAGGUAUAUUUAUUAAAUUGUGUGGUAUGGUCCUAAAUGAUUACCUCCCGGGUGUAAAACUUCACAGCAAAACCACGAGGAUCCCUCAAGGUUUCAGGGCUGCCACGCUCGUGAAUAACAGUUGAGAAACGGACAAUAACGGGUGUCUGAACUCCGGGGGCACGAAGGAAAUCGGCACAUGACAGGUGAGUAAUGUCAUGUGUGACCUCAAAGAAACCCUUUGCACUUGCUCCCCUAGCAUGGACAACACGUUCUGGGAUCCGUUCCCUGUCAAAGUUUGCAAGCUUUUCGACAAGAUGAUAAUCCUCUAGGAGAAUUGGACCUGCCAAAAGGGUUAAAAGAAAAAAAAAAAGAAAGAAAAUUCAGUGAAACAACACUCAUCUAAAUUCA